GACGAGGAUGCAAGCGUUAUCCGGAAUCAUUGGGUUUAAAGGGUCCGUAGGCGGUUUGGUAAGUCAGUGGUGAAAGCCCAUCGCUCAACGGUGGAACGGCCAUUGAUACUGCCAGACUUGAAUUAUUAGGAAGUAACUAGAAUAUGUAGUGUAGCGGUGAAAUGCUUAGAGAUUACAUGGAAUACCAAUUGCGAAGGCAGGUUACUACUAAUGGAUUGACGCUGAUGGACGAAAGCGUGGGUAGCGAACAGG
rnacentral:rRNA from 1 species